rnacentral:rRNA from 1 species
UACGUAGGGUCCGAGCGUUGUCCGGAAUUAUUGGGCGUAAAGGCGCUCGUGAGCGGUCUGUCGCGUCUGCUGUGAAAACUCAGGGCUUAACCCUGAGCUUGCAGUGGGUACGGGCAGACUAGAGUGCGGUAGGGGAGACUGGAAUUCCUGGUGUAGCGGUGAAAUGCGCAGAUAUCGAGGAGGAACACCGGUGGCGAAGGCGGGUCUCUGGGCCGUAACUG